UUAAUAAGCGGAGGAAAAGAAACUAACCAGGAUUCCCCUAGUAAGGGCGACUGAAGCGGGAAUAGCCCAUGUGAAAUCUGCGCUCUGCGCCGAAUUGUGGUCUGUAGACACUUGCAUUAGCAGCCAGGCGAAGUCCCUUGGAACGGGGCAGCUGAGAGGGUGAGACUCCCGUGUGCCUGGCUUCGUGAGCGAGUAGUCGACGAGUCGAGUUGUUUGGGAUUGCAGCUCUAAUUGGGUGGUAAAUUCCAUCUAAGGCUAAAUACUGGUGGGAGACCGAUAGCGUACAAGUACCGUGAGGGAAAGAUGCAAAGAACUUUGAAAAGAGAGUUAAAGAGUACCUGAAAUUGCUGAAAAGGAAGCGAAGGAAACCAGUGCCAGGUGCGUCAUACUUCCCCGGCCGCUUGCGGUUGGGGCGCUGUGGCCACCCCUGCCAGACUUGGUUGGUUGCGGCUGGAAGUGCGUCCGUAACGUUGUUGCGGGCAUGUCUGCAGCUCGGCCGACUGAGGCUGGGCGAAAUGGUUUUCUUUUUCCCG
rnacentral:rRNA from 1 species